ensembl:lncRNA
CUUAAAUCCAAUUGAGAUGCUGUGGCAUGACCUUAAACAGUCCAUGUGUGCUUGAAAACCCUCCAAUGUGGCUGAAUUAAAACAAUUCUGCAAAGAAGAGUGCAUGGGCCAAAAUUCCUCCAUAGCAAUGUGAAAGACUCAUUGCCAGUUAUCGCAAACACUUGAUUGCAUUUUUUGCUGCAAAGGGUGGCACUGUUGUGAAUUUAACCCUUAUCUUUCAUUUUUCCUUUUCUUUUUCCCAUAUAUAUAUAUGUACUACAUAUCCCACAAUUCCAAGCAGACUACAAUACCCAUGCAAGUGCACUACAUUACCCAUACACCUCCUGGUCAAGGUCUAUAAAUAGACCUCACUUCCUUCCUUUGUUUCUCUUCCUUUGGUGAGGGUGUGGGUGUUUGAAUGGACACCCAACCAUGUCCUUUGAGUCCUUUCCUUAGGAUGCGUUAAUGACUUAAGACCAUCUUGUACAUCUUGUACACGUUGUCCAUCCAGUUCAUCCUGUCCAUCUAAUAACAUCUGUCCAUCUCCAUGCUAUGGGAAUUGUCUAUGAAUAAUCAUCUUGAACUUAAAAAUAAAAGAGAGCAAAGGACUGGUAUCUGUCCCGUGUUUUAAUCAGACACGCCAUCAAGUUUCUACACCUCUGAUGAACUUUGGAUAUAUUAACAUCUGAUAUCCUACAAAUGGUCCUUCGAGCCGGAACGUAGAAAUUUGGUGGAAUGGAUUACCGCUCAAGACCUGCAAUCCGGCGCAGCCUAAGAAGGAGAAGACCUCCUGCCCGUUUUGCUGACUGUAUGGUGAGAGAAUGUGCUGCUCCCCCUCCUCCUUCCUCACCAACACUAGCUGUUAGUGAUCCUCACCAAACCCAGUAUGGAAAUCCAUCUUCAAGACCUGGCCCAUGUUUAGCUGCUCACCAACCGUCUCAACAUGAUUUAGUCGAUAUGGAUGUUAAACAAGAAAUACUUGGACUUAAGGGUAUGCUUGGUGAGAUGAUGUCUAAAAUGUCACAGUUAGUAGUUUCCUCUAAACAUUCUGAAUUUUCUGAGUCUUUUGAUGAUGCUUCUGAUGAUGAUAAUGCAUUUGCUACUACAUCUAUUGUUCAGGAGUUGUCUGCAUGUAUAAAGAAUGCUGAACAGAAACGUACAUGUGAGAAAUGUAAUUCCUCAACUGUUCCUUCACCGCCUCCAUUGAGUAGGCCUAGUUCUCUGCCUCUCCCCCCUUCCUCAUUGUUACGUAGUCCACCCCAACAUAUGCACACACAUGAUAGAACUUCACAAUUACAAUCAAGUAAUAUGUUACAACCUUCUAUUGUUCCACUGGUUCCUGAGCCUCCUAAUUGUCAUUCCCUUCAAGUGCAAACAUCGCCAGUAUUGGUACGACCAAUUGGUUCACCACAGCCAGGUAUAUCAUGUAGUCCCUUUUUCCCUUCCAUGGCUCAUACUCAGUUAUCCUCACAAGUAACAUCAGCACAGUUACCUCCUCAGCCGCUGUAUGCUGUUUCGCAGUAUUCACAGCCAUUAGGACCAUCUUCUAGCUUGGCGAUUCCUCAUGUAUCCUCCGCUAAUGUAAGUCCUCAUAUUCAACCACAGUCUGUAGGUCAGGUAGGGAAUCUUGUUUCACACAAUCCUGCUUCCUAUAUUCAAUCAAUUGCUCCCACUACCCAGAUGAGCACAAUUCCAUUCCUUCAUCCGUAUCCAUAUUCUCAGCCAUAUGCUUCAUAUCCUGUUCCUUCCUAUCCUUCUUCUCGUGUUCAGGGACCUUCCUUUCCUUUCUUAGUGAAUGACGACCCCCAAGAAUUUGCAAUGUUGCAGUUAGCCUUGACAAAUUUGUUGUCACCCCAUGAGCCAGAACAUUACAAAUUCCAUAUCUUGCUGGAUCAUUUAAAAUUUUCUCAAGCUCGUGAUCUAGCUUUAGCUUAUGCUAAUGAUCCUAGGCCUUACAGCAUGGCUCUUUUUGCACUACAGCAGAAAUAUGGGCAACCUCACCAACUAGUUUUGAGAGAAAUCAAAGCUAUUCUAGCUCUCCCCAGGGUGAGACCAGGUGACAGCAGAGCAUUUAGUAGCUUCGCACUGAAGGUUCGAGCUUUGGUUGGCAUGCUCCAAUCUUUGGGCCAAGACCAAGUUAAAUCCGAAUUAUCCUGCGCUUCUCAUGUACAGCAACUACUCGGUAAACUGCCCACAGAGCAUGUGACCAACUUUGCCCGUUAUGCCCGUACUAUCCUAAAGGGUCAAAGCUACAACCUGAUUACCUUUUCUGCCUGGCUCCAAGAAGAGGCUGAGUGUCAAGCAAUAGCAGAUCAGGCUAGUGACUUUUCAAAACCACUCCUGAGUAAACCUCAACCAAAGACCUAUGUUAACACACGAACAGUCUUGUACGGAGUCAACGGUAAUUCUGUUGAGCCAAGAUCCACAGCUAAGCAACCCCAGAAUAUGAGAGAUGGAGAAUGGAGUUCCAAGUAUUCAUGCGCAUAUUGUUCCAGUAGAGACCAUUUCAUUGGCCUGUGCCCUUCUUUUAAAUCCUUAGAUGACAGCAGGAAGGAUGCAUGGAUUAGAGAGAGCAAAAGAUGUUGGAGAUGCGGGCUUAAACAUCUAGCCGUCAACUGUGACUUGAAAAAGCCUUGUCCACAGUGCAAAGGCAGACAUCUUGGUAUUCUUCAUGGAGUUAAUUGUCGCGACCAGGAUAACGGUACAUUUUAUCUUAGUCGCCUUGGAGGUUCUGGGAAGGUACUGCUUAAAGUUGUUGAAGUACUUCUCCAUUACAAAGGCAGAUCCUUGCAAACCUAUGCCAUCCUGGAUGAUGGAUCAGAACGCACCAUGCUGCUAUCUCAAGCAUCUGAUUAUUUGGGCCUCAAUGGGGUAACCGAGUCCCUAAUCGUUAGAACUGUACGUCAAGACACUCUCGCACUUGAAGGCUCUUCUGUAACCUUUGAAAUAUCUUCCAUGGUCAAUCCAGAGAAGAAGUAUUCCAUUUCCAAUGCUUUUUCUGCCACCAGAUUGGGACUGGCAGAACAGACUUAUCCGGUUGAGAUCUUGCAGAGACGCUUCAGACAUCUUCGGGACUUACCCCUUCCAGCUUUCACUAAUGUCCAACCACUUAUUCUUAUUGGUGCAGACUACCCACACCUGAUAAACCCAAUCGAUCAGGUGUAUUUUGGGCCUCCUAAAUCUCCAGCAGCAAUCCAGACCAGGUUAGGCUGGGUACUUCAAGGCCCAAUACCAAUUCCUAACACCGAUGAGAUGCAGUGUCUUUUUACCAUCGCUAAUCCAUUAGAAGAACUUCGCCACGAUGUGGAGAAACUAUGGAAGGUAGACAUCCUUCCUUUCCGGAAUGAAAAGGUCAUUACUAGGUCCAAGCAGGACCAAGGAGCUAUGGACUUGUUGGCCUCCAAGUCUAAAAUAGUUGAUGUGGAUGGUGUGAAAAGGUAUGCCACUCCGUUAUUGCGUGCUGCUUCCGCCAUGAAGUUACGAGCCUCACCAAAUGCAGUUAUGUCUUCUCUCAGAUGUAUCGAGCGUCGCCUCCAAAGAAAUCCCACAACUGCUGCUGUGUAUGACCAAGAAAUUGCUAAGUUGGAGAAAUCUGGUUAUGUUUCCAAAGUGGAACUUUCUCAUGACUUAUCAAAUGAGUCAUGGUAUAUUCCUCAUCAUAUCGUGGAGCAUAAUGGAAAGAAAAGAAUAGUUUUCAAUUGUUCCUAUCAAUAUAAAGGUGUGUCACUUAACAGUCAACUCCUUCCUGGUCCACAAUUGGGCCCUUCCUUACUUGGGGUCUUACUCCGGUUUCGUCAGUGCCCAGUGGCAAUUAGUGGGGACAUCAAAUCUAUGUUCCACCAAGUUAGGCUACUACCAGAAGACCGUUCUCUUCUACGCUUCCUGUGGCGCAACAUGCAGAGGUCAAACCCACCUGACAUCUACGAAUGGCAAGUUUUGCCCUUUGGCACAGUAUGUAGUCCAUGUUGCGCAAUAUAUGCUUUACAAAGGCAUGUCCAUGAUCACAAAGAAGGAUAUGAAGAUGUAGUGAAUUCUGUACUUCAGUCAUUCUAUGUGGACAACUGUUUAGAGAGUUUCCCAAAUGUGCAAACUGCAAAAAACUUCCUAGACCGAAUGCGUUCUUUACUGAUGAGUGGAGGAUUUGAAAUCAGACAGUGGGCAAGUAACCUGCCUGAUGUUGUCAGACACCUUCCUCCUGAAGCCAGGUCUGAGAGUGCUGAACUGUGGAUCAAUCAAGAUCGUUUGGAUCCUAAAGAAGGAGCUCUGGGUCUGAGUUGGCACUGUCCCUCUGAUUCAUUAGGGUAUCGAUCCCGAAUUGUGGAGUAUAAAGCAACAACCCUGCGCAAUAUAUAUAAAGUCCUCGCCAGUCAGUAUGACCCCUUGGGUUAUAUCUCCCCCUUUACAACGCGAGCUAAGGUCAUCAUACAACAAUGCUGGAUGAAGUCCAGGGGCUGGGAUGAUCCCCUUAUGCCAGAUCCUAUUCAACAGGCCUGGAAGGCUUGGGAAAACGAGCUCCCUGAUCUGUCAUUGAUACAGCUUCCUAGAUGUUAUUCAACCUUGCCUUCCAAUCAAAUUACAUCUAGAGAGUUGCAUAUAUUUUGUGACGCCUCAGAGAGUGCAUAUGGGUCAGUAGCCUAUUUGCGGAUGGAAAAUGACAAGGGUGUGGUACAUACUUCCUUCAUCAUGGCAAGAUCUCGAGUGGCCCCUAAAAGGCAAAUAUCCAUCCCUCGUCUGGAACUUUGCGCUGCUCUAACAGGUGCACAGCUUUGUAAACUCCUGCAGAACGAAUUGACUCAUCCUUUGACAAAUAUUGUCCUAUGGUCAGAUUCAACAACCGUCUUGUCUUGGCUGCAUUCCCUCUCCUGCCGUUACAAAGUUUUUGUAGCUAAUAGAGUCACUGAAAUCCUGGAACUUACUGAUCCCUCUUCUUGGAGGUAUAUUCCUUCUGCACAGAAUCCAGCAGAUGACAUUACUAGAGGUAAAACUCUUGUUGAGUUAGCCAAACCUGCUCAUAGAUGGCGACAAGGCCCAAUGUUUCUGAAAUGUCCUCCACAUGAAUGGCCAAAAAAUCUAGUGUCCAGACCUGCUAGUCCUGAUCCUGAGCUCCGCAAGCCACUCUUUUGUGGCUUAACACAAGUGGAUGAUUUCGUAUUCCCAGAUCCUUCCAGUUUCAAAUCACUGUCAGAGUUACAGUCCGCAACAAAUCAGUUACUGCUACAACAUAGGGAGGACUCCUGUGAUGCCUCUUCAGUCCAAACCCUUCUUUUGAGAGAAGCCCAGCAACAAAGUUUUCCCUCUGAGUAUCAGUGUUUAAAGGAAGGAAAGCCCAUUGAACCUCAAAGUUGUCUCCUCACACUUUCUCCUGAAUUCAAUGAAGAAACAGGACUUAUUGUAGUGGGAGGUAAGCUCAGGCGUGUAGAGGAUAUGGAACCUGGAAUGGUUCAUCCAAUUGUACUCGACCCUAAACAUCCAUUAUCCCAUUUAAUUAUCAAGGACUGUGAUGAGAAACUUUUCCAUCCUGGUCCAGAGAGAGUUUUCUCAGAACUUCGGCGCAAUUACUGGAUAAUUAGAGGGAGACAAGCCGUAAAAAAACAUCAGUGGUCUUGUUUACAAUGUAGAAAGUGGAGAGCUAAGCCAUCUAUCCCUCAAAUGUCAGAUCUGCCAAGCUCCAAGCUCCGGUUGUUUAAACCUCCCUUUUGGUCCACCGGAAUGGACUGUUUUGGUCCCUUUCAUGUCACUAUUGGCCGUAGAACGGAGAAGAGAUGGGGCAUUCUGUUUAAAUGCCAGACCACUCGAUGUCUGCAUCUUGAUUUGUUGAGCAGUUUAAAUGUGGACAGCUUUCUAAUGGCCCUACGCCGCUUCAUAUCUAGGAGAGGAAGGCCUUAUGAGAUUCUUUGUGAUCAAGGAAGUAAUUUCCGUGGAGCUGCAAGAGAAUUAAAGGAAGCUUUCCAAAACCUUACCACUGAGUUGCAAGUCAAGUUGGAAAGUCAGCAGAUUAAAUUCAAGUUUAAUCCACCACAAGCUCCUCAUUUUGGGGGGUCAUGGGAAAGAGAGGUCCGUUCAGUUAAAACAGCUCUGCGGGUGGUACUUGGCAGUCAAACAGUAUCAGCAGAAGUCCUACAAACAGUUUUGACUGAAGUUGAAGGAGUGUUAAAUUCGAAGCCACUUGGUUACGCCUCUUCAAACAUUUCAGAUCUCGACCCCAUCACUCCAAAUCUCCUCCUCAUGGGGCGGCGAGACUCUUCUCUACCUCAGGUGAUUUAUGCCAACACUAAGCUCUUUGGCCGCCGAUCUUGGCGCCAUAGCCAGGUCCUCGUGGACCAGUUCUGGACAUCCUUUAUCCGAUAUUAUCUACCAGGUCAGCAGCUCCGUCAAAAAUGGAACCGAGAACAACCUAAUCUAAAUGACUCUGCUGUCGUGUUAGUUAUUGAUUCUCAACUCCCAAGAGCAUCAUGGCCCAUUGGUAGGGUAGUACGUCUCUUACCUAGUCAGGAUGGGCGCGUUAGAGUAGCUGAGAUUGUUAUCAAUGGAAAGACAUAUGUACGUCCAGUUGCUAAGUUGAUUCCAUUACCUAAAAUAGAUGAGUGAUAGCGAAUACUUGACUGUAUUCGGGGGCGACUGUUGUGAAUUUAACCCUUAUCUUUCAUUUUUCCUUUUCUUUUUCCCAUAUAUAUAUAUGUACUACAUAUCCCACAAUUCCAAGCAGACUACAAUACCCAUGCAAGUGCACUAUAUUACCCAUACACCUCCUGGUCAAGGUCUAUAAAUAGACCUCACUUCCUUCCUUUGUUUCUCUUCCUUUGGUGAGGGUGUGGGUGUUUGAAUGGACACCCAACCAUGUCCUUUGAGUCCUUUCCUUAGGAUGCGUUAAUGACUUAAGACCAUCUUGUACAUCUUGUACACGUUGUCCAUCCAGUUCAUCCUGUCCAUCUAAUAACAUCUGUCCAUCUCCAUGCUAUGGGAAUUGUCUAUGAAUAAUCAUCUUGAACUUAAAAAUAAAAGAGAGCAAAGGACUGGUAUCUGUCCCGUGUUUUAAUCAGACACGCCAUCAAGUUUCUACACCUCUGAUGAACUUUGGAUAUAUUAACAUCUGAUAUCCUACAGGCACAACCAGUUAUAAUAUUUUGUGUAUUUGGUGUAAUGCAAUGUGUUUAUGCGGAUUAAGGCUCAAAAAACAUUAUUUUCCACAUACUGUACAUUAUUGUUGCUCCUCUAUGCCCCGCCUUUCUGAAACAGGUCGAUUUUUACAAAGCUCAUCGGUCUGAAAAGCGAGGUGUGCUCUGAUUGGCCAGCUAUCCAGUGCAUUGUGAUUGGCCAAAAUCGUGUGAUAAAAUGAUACACCCCUUGUCAUACUGUGAUGCCAUGUCCCGGUGCAACAAGACACAAGAUAAAAACAAUAAAACCCAUUAUAAAUGAGGCAUUUGUUGCAUCCAAUGGGGACAUUGGAUUACUGAUUAUAAUGACUUAUACUGUCUUUUUACACACUAAGUUGCAAUGCCCUGCACUGCUUAAACAUAAAACAAUGUCUGCAUUUGUGAUUGGAGAAACGACAAACAACAAGCGCUACUCUACACUGCUCAAAACUGAAUUUGAAUCAUCAGUGGCAAAUUCUUUAAAAAUGAAAAUAUACUUACAGGCGGUGAGUCAGAACAGCCGGCAUUGUAGGCUACUCUCCCAGGAUCAGGA